rnacentral:lncRNA from 1 species
GUGAAUCUACCUUUUGGCUUUAACCUCUUGGAGUUUUAAAAAUUAUUAUUUAUAGGUAUUACUGAAAUUUUUCAUCACAAAAUUUUACUUUGUAUCUUUCCAGAUACAAAAUCCGACUAGGGAGAGAAUGGAGUUGGAAAGAAAUGGAAGUGCAGAGUGAUGGAAAAAACGAGAAGGAUUUGGAGAGCACACUUUUUUUCUGCCGUGACAGGCCACAGCUGGGGGAUCCGAAUGGAACUAUAGAAGAUGACAAUCCUCUUGACCUCUGAAUGGCCAGAUCACACCACAACAGCACAUGCCAGCUUUGGGAAGCAUCUGAGACCAGCCUUCUCGGAGUGCCAAAUCUGGUUACUGAUUCCUCAUUCAUCUACAACACCAUCACAGUUUGGAAGGCACGCCUUCUAUCAGGAGAAACACACUGGACAAAUAAUCCUAAGAGGAGAUUCAGGAAAAGGAUCCCCACUCACUGCCUAUGGAGGAGAGUUCAGAGACCUGACUUUGAUGUACCAAUCCACUCUCAGAGGCUCUCUUUCGGUCUUGCUUGCGUCCUGCUGAGGAGUGAAGCACAAGACUCCCGAAGCAACCUGUAUGCCCCAGAUCAUCAGGGUAGGCUGAAGAGUGGUCUAGUCAGAAUACAUCUCAGAAUUUAUGCUAAGAACGUGGGGGAGGGGAUGGGAAGGUACUCUUCUACUCAAGUAGAAGCUGUAGAGAGGAAGCCCCAGAAGCGGCUACAGCCUUCUCAUUACUUGGACUUUAAAACAGGAGAGGGAAACAAACAAACAAAAACAAACAGAAAGAAAUUUGAGCGGUGGCUGGGUUUGGAUACUUCCAUUACAGGAGCAGAUACAUACUUGUCUAAACCAGUUUCAUUUGUAUCCUUUGUCACUUACAACCAAUAGAAUCCUCAUAAAAACGGAGGAGAAGAAACCUGCUCUGUUUCUAAAGGUUACAUCC